CAUGCGCGCUGAGGGUGGAGCCGCUGAGCAAAGAACCGGAAACUUAGAGACAAAGUUCCGAGCCCCGCCUCUGGCUUCGCUGCCCUGCUGUCUGGUGCCGCGGACUCACAACCAAGUAGGCCCAGUUGUCGCGUGCACCAUGUCUGGUUCCUCAAGUGUCACCGCUAUGAAGAAAGUGGUUCAGCAGCUCCGGCUGGAGGCCGGGCUCAACCGCGUGAAGGUUUCCCAGGCAGCUGCAGAUUUGAAACAAUUCUGUCUGCAGAAUGCCCAACAUGACCCCCUGCUAACUGGAGUAUCUUCAAGUACCAAUCCCUUCAGACCCCAGAAAGUUUGUUCCUUCUUGUAAUGAAAUGAACCUUUGAAGGUAUUCUAAACCACUUUUCAUGAACCAGUGAAUAUUCAAAGAGAGCUAAAUUUGAAGCCUGUACAAAAAGCUUAUUAUCCCUGUAACACGUGCCACACUAUACAAACUUCGGCUUUUGUCAGUCCUUAACAUCUACCUCUCUGAAUUUUCAUGAAUUUCUACUUCACAAGGAUGAUUAUUUUAUAUACACUGGCAGCGUCAUACAAAUAAAUACUUAGUAUAAAAGGGAAAAAAAAAAAAAA